UACGAUAGUUAUUGUGUUUAUGC
rnacentral:siRNA from 1 species